GCGACCCGUUUUUUAUCCACGGGUCGAUGAAGCCCAUCCGGCCCGGCGUUGGCGCGUCGCCGCCUCUCCCGCUCCCGUAGCCGCCGCUCCCGCUCCCCGCCGUCCGCGCCCCUGCUUCUCGCCGCCGGCGACUGCGGCCGCCGCUGCGCCACGUUCUUCUCCCCAAUCCCCUCCGCCUCGCGCCCCCCAGCCAUGCUGCCUCGCCUCGCGCGGCUCAGCCCCGCCGCCGCCUCCCCUCACAGAUCCCCUAGCCGCGCCGCCGCCUCGCAGAGCCCCCAGCCCCGCCGCCAGGAGUUCAGCGCGGGGAACCGCACGAGUGCCGGCCGCCGCAUCGAGACGACCGCCGAUUCGCCGCCUCCUCUCCAGCUCCGGCUCGUCGCCGAGCUCCGGCAGGAGGUGCACGGACCACGGCCGCCGCAACGCCGAGCUCUGCCGCCAUGGAUAUGGCGGACGACAUCGGCCUCGCCACCCUCCACCCGCACCUCGAUGCCUCCUCCAUGGCCGCCGCGUUCCCCAACCCCAAGGGCGGCCGCGGUGGCAGCCGGCGACUGCGGCCCUGCUUCUCGCCGCCGGCGACUGCAGCCGCCGCUGCGCCACGUUCUCCCAAUCCCCCGUCCCUCUCUAAGCUUGUGAUGUUUCUCUGCCUCGUUUCUCUCUUUUUUUUGUUAAAAGAUUUUCCAGAGUUCCAACAAAAAACAGUGGAUCUCUCGUGCUAUAUAUCUGAAAAUGAAUCCUCUUCUCUUUGAAUAAAUACUGCUAGCACUUCCCACUAGCAUCACGUAUUCCUGUCUAGCGGCUGCUUAUGAAUCUGACUCUUUUUUUCCUUUGUUCAGCUGACGCUAUCUUCCUUGUUCACUGUAAUGGACCCAUGUGUUUUGAUCUCUAAAUAUUGCUCUGAUGAAGCCUUGAUUUACGUAUCAGCAACUCAUUUUGUUUUGUCUCUAUUCUAGAUUUCUUGAUUGAUUCAUCUUUGUUAGAUAGCACAGGAUGUGAUUUCUUUUGGCAAGGGUGAUUAAGCAUGAGUUGCAGCACCGCCUGAAGGUUUGCACACGGUUUGCACACGCCAUGUUUGUUGUAAUGCUCACUAAAGGUUAUAUUUCUUUUCUAAUUUGGGUGAAUUUACAAGCUAUAUUUUUUUCUUCAUGGAGUUGACAGGUUAAUUAGGAUGAUAAAAUUGUAGAUCUCAUUUGCUUGGAAAUAAAAAUCUUGAUAGGUUGCAUCAUAUUGAUCCCCUGUGUUUACUCUGCUCUAAACACCAUGUAUUAAAUACUAGACUAACAAAUAACAACACGGUUGAAGAUACUACUGUCUUUUUUGGAAAAAGACAUUUGCUUAUAAUUUACAAGCAAGAAUAAUUGAUAGCUGUCAAAGAACAGUUUGCAAACUCCCAAGACUAAAACAAGAAAUUUAUGUAGGCCUUAAUUUUUUAACUGCCCAGAUGGUUAGUGGUUUUUCGCAGGCACUAAGCAUUUGGAGGUCAAAAUUGUCUUAUGAAGUUAUACAGAUUGUUUUAGCUGUCAGGAGAGGCAAUUUCUUUGGGUUUACAACAUUAGGAACAUCUGUGAUGAUCCCCUAAAUGUUGGUUCUUUUUAUGUGUUGAAAUAAUGUGAUAAUUUCUUAUUUUUAUGUUUAUUACUCAUCAUUUGCCAUGGCAUAUUUUAACUGCAACACUCCUAUUUGUGACUGGGAUGAAGACACUGCCGGAGACACUAUUUGCACUCGCCUUCUAACUGUGAAUCGGUCAUUAGUGGCUCAUACGGCUUUGUUAAUUGAAUCCUUUAUAUAAUCCUCGAUCAUUGUUGUAAGUACACAAUGAUUGUUUUUAGAUUUUGUAUCUUACAGAAUGAAUCGUGGCUGAAUGAGCCAUCACACUAAUGCAAAUAUUCAUGAUAUUCAUUCAAUUUCUUCUAUGUCCAGAGGUUCUUGCAGACUAUGAGAUCCAUAGAGUGGGUGUUCAUAGCCUAAUCAAUCAUUCUGAUAUUUGGAUUUAUUUUACGGGAUAUUUGGAUUCUCUUUAGUCAAUUCAGUCUCAAGCAGUUUGUCAAUUGCUAUAAUUGCAACUGGGGUUCUAAAGGAGCAAUAUUUUCAUUGGACAUUUUCUUCUCUAAUAAUCAACCAAAGUUUACAAUGCAUGUACUAAUGGAGAUUUCCAUCUUGCUACUGUAGAACAUUUGAUAGCUGACGAAGCGAUUUUGUUUCCAUCCAUUGUUAACUGAGUAGAGCUAGACGGUAAUUAAAAUUUCCAGCAUGUGUAGCAUGUGUAGUGCGUGUAGUCUUGCAUUUGAGAUAUUUACCUAAGAAAAGAUAUACUCCCUCCGUCCGGAAAUAAGUGACUUCGAUUUGUAUAGAUUCACAUGUAUCUAGACGUGUUUUACUGUAUAGAUACAAGUGAGUCUUGACCAAUCCGACUCACUUAUUUCUGGACAUAGGAAAGAGUUGAUUAUCUUACUUUACUACAAAUUGUUAAUACAGGGUUCUUUGCAUUUUUAUCCCUUAGUUCCAGUUUUUAUUUUUCAGGGUAGAUUUAGUUUUAGUCUAAAUAUUUCAUGUUUCUGAUGUUUUAAUUUGAGCUUUAUUGCCAUACUUCCAAGUCUUGCUUUCUACUUCUUCUUAUGUUCAGUAAUGUAAUUAUGUCAAACCGUUUAGCAAACUAAUUAAUCUUGCUAAAAGUUCUUACAUUGGUGAAGGAGGAAGCACUUUUUUAUGGUGCCUUUAUCGGAACCAUUUUUAUGGUGUCUUUAUCGGAACCACUGACAUGUUAGUUGACUCGCAUUCCUUGUGACUUGCUCAUACACAUUCCUGUUCGUUGCUCAACUUUUGUGUACUGUAGACUGUACUACCGGCGGCGCCGCUCAUGCCUGUUCAUUGUCGCCAUAGCUGAGUCGAUGUGCUCUUUUUUAUCUUCACCAUAGCUAAGCAUAUGCUCAACAACACUCGUCUGAUUUAAUUUCCUCUAUGUAUUAACAAUUGAAGCACGUCCUGGUGAACCAAUUGGAUGUGUCGUUCAAGUUCUACAAGAUCUGGUGCUCCAUCAUUGAUGUCCUAGACAUCGACACGGUACGUCAAAAAAUUCGUCCCUUUAGUGUGCUCUUGAGAUUAAUUAAUGUGAUGACUAAUAAGUGCAAUCAUCCUAUUCGAGAGCAAAGUCAGGCAGGCAGCUGUGUUUUGACAAUGAGAAUUGUAGUGUUCUGUUCCAAGUUCCAGCUUUUUAUGAUAAGUUUAGGAUAAGCUUAUUAUAGAAUCUGUACCUGUACCUGAUAUGUACAACCAUAAAUUUACAACUUGAUUUAUGUGGAAACCUGAAUGCCUCUGAAUCUAGGUCGAGCAGUUUACCUUGAGAACUCAAGGCAGGUUUUAUCACUUUGUGCACUGGGUUCCUACGUACAGGUUCGGAACAGAUAAUCAUGUCUCUUUGUUGUCUGAAAUCCUGAAUGCUUUCUUUGUUACGAGUGCGACUACUUGCUCUUUAUUAAAUUCAUUUAUGCCAUAUAUCAGUUUGUGAGGAUCUAAUGGACCAAGUAGUUUCAGUUUCACACCAAGAGUCUCGAUAAAAUUACAUUUUAUCAACUAAACCUCUGAAUCUAGGUCGAGCAGUUUACUAUUGUUUUCUUAGUCGGUUUGCAGAAAAUACUAGCUGGGGAUUGACGCCUGUCAUUUAUCCACUUUCUUCUUUCAUCUUAAUUGACUUGAGGAUUCCAGAAUAUCUAUCCUAAAGCUACAAUACGAUCAGGAGAUAAUACAUUUCCAUUAGUUUGAUGGUUCCUUGUACAUCAGGGACUAGCAAAUGUUCACUGUUGCUUUCUCUAAGUACAUAACUUGGCGAUAAAUUUAGUUGGCACUUGUUGGUUGGGUGUUAUUUUGUGUUACUAUAUAGAAAGUACAAUUUAUAUACAUUAUGUUGUAUAUCACACUCUAAUCUGAAAUUGAUGUCUUCAGCACUGAACCAAUUUGUAUUUUCUCUUACCUUUGUUUUUGCCUUCCGUUCCUCUGGAAGAUUUUAUUUUUAUUGUACCAUGAUCACUCUAUUUGAAAGAGAUAUUUUUGGAGCCAAUAGUUGCAAAGAGGCCUUUUCUGGAAAUAGAUGGAGAAAAUUCCAUCACUCUGCGUAUAAGGUUAUGUUGUUGCACGAUGGGGUUGAUUUGGAAUAGAAACAACUAUUUAUGACAUGCAAGUGUGUGUAUUUUAUGGCAGAAAUCUAGAAGGAUUAGCAGCUGCGGAAGAAGCUGAAGCAUAUGCGGUGCUUGAUGGAGUGUAGCUGGCUGCGAGGAUGAUCCAGGGACCUGUGAUCGUGGAGAGUGACUGCACUAUCAACGCUCCAACAACAACAAAGUAUAAACAGAUCAAAACACCAUGUGAUCUAUAAUACCGUCAGGGACCUGGCAGCAAGGUUAUCUUGUUGUAGCUUCCAGUUUUUUAGAAGAGAUGGCAACCUGAUUGCCCAUGAAUUAGCUAGGCUAGCUCGGGUAGAAGGAUUGGUUGGCUGCUGGAUGAACCGACCCCCUAAAGCUAUCUCCACCCUUGUGCAAUAUUAUUGUAAAGACAUUAUUAACAAUGUGCAAUAAAUCUCUUUUCCCUAAAAAAAAGAUUUUUAGACCUUUUUAUCUGCGAAUUGAGCUGAUGUUAACGGCCUGUUUGUUAAAUUUGGAUGUUGAUACCUAGGAGAUGUUUCUGUGUAUAAUUCUGAUAAUUGCAAGCAUGAUUAAUUUGUAAGUUGUUUCUUUGCUUGGAACAUUUGUGUCGGAGUUUUUGUAACUUUUAAUUUCAUAUCACCCAAAAUGUUAAACUAUUGUGCUAACAUAGUGUGGCCUUCACACAAGCAGACUGAUUUGACACUUUGUUUGGCUGAUUUUUUUUUUGUACAGUAUGAUAGUUAUCCAUGGUAAAAGUUAUGAUCUUAGUAGUUUGACUGCAGGUCAAAUAUUUGUGGGUGAUUCCAGUUUCCAAGGGAUUCACCAAUCCGAGAUGUAAUGAUUAUGUAUUAUUCAUGUUGUUUAACCAUCGAUAAGUUAAUUAUGACGCACGGUUAAUGCCAUCAUAUGCUCUAAUUAUACUAGGCUGAUUCAGAGUGAAGGGCUUGCUGAGCAGCGCAAACAGGCAAAGAUACACACCGUGGGUAGGAUGAAUGUACUGAAUGCUUUUCUUAUGGUGUGAGCAUUUGAUCAUUGUUGGGAAUAAGAUCUGAAUACUAGGAUGAAGGCUCAAUGCACACAAAUGGUUAUUGUUCCGUAGACACAAGUGACUUUUUAAAAUUGUAGAUCUCAUUUGCUUGGAAAUAAAAAUCUUGAUAGGUUGCAUCAUAUUAAUCCCCUGUGUUUACUAUGCUCUAAACACCAUUUGAGGCAGUAAAAAUAGUAAGCACGAAUGAACUGUAGCCUAUAUUUGUAGAAUCAUCAUUAAAGUUGAAGAGUGGACAUUAUGCACUGCAAUAUUCUCUUUCCUCUUCAAAUAUGUUAAUUGCAAUGUCUUCUACUGGUUGUUAUUUAUUCCGAGGAAGCAGUUGGGCAUGUUCUGUUUCUUGAUGUAUUCAUUUGUGUCUUCACUAACAAUUGUACCUUGAUGGGAAUUAACAGUUGCUUUGUUUUAGUUUUCUAUAGGCAAGAAGGGUCUGAGUGGCAUCUGUUCAUUUGGUAUGGCCGACUGUUCAUCUACUAUCUUUAUGUGUAUUUUACUUUUGUUACCAAAUGAUGUUGAUAUGUUCUUGAUAGAAGCAUGCCCUCUAGGUUUUUCUCACUGGUUUGGUGUGUGUCUCUUCCUUCCAUUUAUUUACUUUGUGCCACAGGAUACUCGUCAUCUCCGAUUCUCCCCUCCAUUUUUGGAUCCAUUUGCAGGUCACCGCGCUGCAGGUAUUGUCGCGUCGGGUGGACGCGGCUACUUCUGUUGGCUGUUGUUCGGUUCCAAUCCUGUACCAUGGGGGCUAGCGAUAAACUGCGUGGAACCCUCACUAUACCUAUGCAACGGCGUAGGCUUCCUUGGCUUAUACGAAGGAGUAUAUCUCUUUGUACCCAAAUAAUAUUAUUCUUCGCUAUCUUCGACUACUAUUCUUUAACAUGCCGUCCAUUGUUGUGUUUGUUUCCGAGAAGGAAGACUUUCAUUGCUGCUCGUUUCCUCUGCCCGUGCUGCAGCUAACCGAAAACAACACAGGCCGAUCAUUGAUUCAAACCGUUCUAGGUUUAAAGGUCAUGUUUUACAUGUUACGAUGCCUUCAGUUCGUCACAGUGAAGCCAAUGGACAGGCAGUUGAGCUGAUGGAUAACAUAUGUGCCAGAUACACCAGUUAUCCCACAAACAGCGGUCGAACAUCUGCCUAUGCUAACUGAUAAAAAAUAUGGAACAAACCCUGGGGAAGACGUGCCUGAUGCCGAUGGCAAGAAAAACAUCGCUUGAUUCCCCGUUAGGAAAAUUGUCUAAUAGGUGACAUGGGUCACCGGUGCUUAUCCUCUUCUCUUUUGCUAUGUAUUGUACAUAUGAAUCAAGCGUAGGAUGCAAUGGUUGUCUUCUGCAUCUCUUCUAGGUGGUAGCUCCACCCUUCCGUGCCCUUCGUUGCUUUUGCUUCAUGCUGCUAUCUCCGCUCUUAUUUUUAGUUCUUCGUACUUUCUGCUACCUGCCAUACUCUGUUUAGAGAAAAGACUUUUUAC